CCCCCUGACCCCGAUUGCCUAAAAUUAUUCUGGGACAUCAAAUACGACCUAAGGAACCAUAUCCACCGCCCCGCAAUGGCCGUUCCUCGUUGUUAUGCGUUUUACAAAUAAAAAACUAGAAUUCUGCCCGAGUCCCAUAUAUUCGUAUGCUAUAGCCCAUGCCUUACGAGUGGGUCCGGGCCCCCGGACCCCGAUCGCCUAAAAUUUUUCCGAACCAUCAAAUAUGACCUAAGUAACCAUAGUCACCACCCAGCCGUGGCCGUUCCUCAUUGUUUUGCAUUUUACGGCCAAAAAACUAGAAUUUCGCCCGAUUCCCAUAUUUUCGUGUGCUAUAGCCCAUGCCUUCCGAGUGGAUCCGGGCUCCCAGACCCCGAUCGCCUAAAAUU
rnacentral:lncRNA from 1 species